CCAGCACCUCGGAAGCGUUGCCAGCCCAGGUCCAAGGGGGCUCCGCGCUCUGUCUAUCCGAACGCGUGGUGUCGCCGCAGGAGUGUCGCUGCCACCGAGGCCAAAAUGACCGCAGGCUUACAGAACAUACGUCCACCUUGUCCUCUUCACAAAGCCAGGCAUCUGGAGAACAUCUGCUUUGCAAAUGGGCCCUCCACAAAUAAUUGAUGAGACCAGAUAGAAACGAAGCAGGAAAAUACUUGGGAACAGCUUGUAAAAGUCAUAGACCUGUGAUGAUGUGAUCUGAGGAAAUGCUGAAUGGCAGGAUGCAAAACAGCGUUUGCAUCCUGGUCUCGGCCAAUAACAUCUCCUGCCUGAAUUAUGACAACGGCUUCACUGAUCUCACUGCUGGCCUUCUUACCACCUUUUCUCAACACAGCAUCCGGGAGGAUCCUGUUACGAACCCAAACACCUCUUUUCUUUCAGAGUAAAAACCCAACUCUCACAAAGCCUACAUUAUCUGGCCUCCACUGUCUCUUACUUCAUGUCCUGUUACCUACUUUUACUGACUUUCACACUUAUCUAUGUGAUCCUGCUUGAAUUCCCUAGAUGCUGUGUCUUGGGCACAUGCAUUGGUUGUUCGUCCUAAUGCCUGGGUACCAUUCCUCAAAAUAUCCACAAUGUUAACUUCAUCAUCCCGUUCAAAUCGUUGUGCAAAUACUUCUCAGUGACAUCUCCCCAGAGUAACCUACCUAAAAUUGCAGCCUAAGCUUUUCCAUUUGCGUGUAUGUGCGUGUUUCCAUAGCACUUCCAUUGUAAUAUGUUAUAUAAUUUACAUAUACAAAAUGUUUACUAGAUCUCUCCCCAGUAACAUUUAGGGUCCCAAGAGGCAAGGAUUUGUGUCCGUUCUGUUUACUAAUGUGUUCCGAGUACCUACAUAGCAGCCAUUUAAUAAAAAACUAUUGAAUUAUGUUUGUGAAGUAUUUUGUAGAAAAAAUAAUCGAAGGAACUAUACCAAAGUAAAAUUAUUGAACACUGCUUAGUGAAUAAUCUAUUUUUUUAAUUUUGUUUUUAAACUAAUUUAUGCUUUCUAAAACCCUCACAUUAAGCACUAUUACUUUUAAAAGACAAGAUAACAGAUUGCACAACAGGAAAUCAGGUCAAUUAAACAAUUUAAGUUUUCAUUUUGUGUACCUCAGAAUCUGAGGUUGGAAACGUUCACCUUUAAACGAGGAAAUAAAGGAUGGGUUUUGAGUUCAUUGACACUUCCAAUUUUAGCUUAUCAGAGAGAACUAUAGAUAAUACAGUCUAAAGAAAACAACACUUAGAUGGGGCUGCUAUAGAAUAGUGACCCCCACUCUAGAAUGCGUCCUUUCAUGUUUAAAAAUGUAAACCUGAGGUUAAAACAGACUAAAGUGUAGAGAAAAACACAAGCCUUUCAUCUAAAAUCUAGAAGAUCUAAAAUGAUCUAAACUCAUUUAUUAUAUAAAUUUCAAAAACAAAAAUUCAGACACUCAAGUUUUGAAAAGCAUUGCUAAAGAGAAAAAAUGUUUAAGACAGAUUUUCCUAUACAGGUAUAUUCAAUAUUUAUUAAACACCUAUUAUUGGCAAGUUAUUGUCCUAAAAGCUGAUUGCUAAGGGUUAUCUCAUGUGACCCUCAAGACAUCCAUCUAAUAUCGAUAUUUUUAACUGAUUUUUCCAGGUAAGGAGAUACAAUAUUAUUUCUCAUUUUUCCCUGCCCAAACCCUUCAGCACAUCAGCUACAGUGGGGAUAUUGGCAGUAGACAGUGAGGGUGCUGAAACUAUGUGAUUCAGAAAUAGAUUAUUUUGUAAAGCAUUUGAAUCAGAACAAGCCUUAUUCAUUUGUGCGUCCAUUCCUUCGUCGAUCUAUUGCCAAAAGAAAAAAAAAAAGGACAUAUUGAGAAAAUGUAUUCCAGGCCCUGUCCCAAAUACUAAAGAUACAGAGAUGAAUAAAUAUUGCAUGAAUGUCGAGGAAGAGCUAGUCUAAUAAUAAAAUAUAUUGAGAAUGUGCUAGAAUCCAUUGUAUUAAGUACUACUUUGGAAGUAUGGGGUAGGCAAGGCCAUCUAUUCUCCCUGAGGUUUGGAGGAAGAUGAGAAAAAAAAAAUCACAGGGGUGGUAAAAGUAGAGUUGAACUUAAAAAAUGGACAAGAGUUACCAGAGCAGAAUAUGAGAAAGGGAUUCUAAUCCAAAUACGUGUUGAGGUGUGGUCCAGCAUCAAGGCAGUUGCAAGAAUUUUCUGAGCUAUUGUCAAUACCAAGCUCUGAACUGCUGGGUCCAGAGACGUCGGGGAAUAUUAGAAUGAAAUUUGGAUGAAAACACCUAAUGGAAUUUUUUAAAUCCUAUGCAGAGCAGGCCUGAAACAAACCAUUAUUAAUAUUAAUAAGAUUUCUUCUGUUAUUAAUUCUGCUGUUUAAGAUCAAGGCUUUACCAUUAAACAUAAUUAAGACUUGAGAUGAAUUUACUUAGUAAAAUUCUUUGACCUUACAUAAUUCAGAUGGUGAAAAUAAAAAACCGUAUCAUUAACACUACCGUCUUCUCUUCAUCCUGCGUUUGUUGGGGGGAGACACAUUAGUAAAGCACCACUAUACUUUAUCACAGAAUUGCUCACCUUGUCUGGGUGCACACUCUUCUUGGUUCUCCCAUUUUCCAUCCAAGUACGAUGGUCAUAGCUCACUAUGGUUGCAUCCUCCCAUGCACUUCCAUAUAAAUCUGCACCUCUUCCUAAAUCCCAACACCCACGCCAGCCUACCCUCCCUCUUAUGGCUCAGUCUUUUUUUCCCCUCUUUUUUUAUUAUAAAUAUUUUUUAAUGUUUAGUUUUGAGAGAGAGAGAGAGACAGAGUGUGAGUGGA